AGGCUUUCUUCACAGCUAGCUGAUCGGAUCCUUGCAGCUGUUUCUUCUGUAGGUCUCGGAGCUCACUGAGAACGUCCAGCACGCCUUCCCGGCGGGGCCCGGCCCAGGUGCGCACUAGAUGAGGCAGUCAACCAAGUCAAUUGGUUCCCGAUCAACUAAAUCUCUCCUAAAAAUAAACACUGCCGCGAGCUUCGAGAGUUCAGCGUGUCAGAGCCUCUAUGAUGGCAGAGCACCUGCCGCGAUGCCUGAUUGGUAGGGAGAAGGAUUUCCCGGGAGGGGGCCAAUACCAAAUUUUAGGGCUGUUAGGCUCUGAGCAGUCCCUUCGUGACCGGAUAAGUCAGAGACCCGGGGUUUGAGCCUUGCCCGGCGCUGAGCGGAGGGCCCAGUUUCGGGACCACAGCCUUGCUCCCUGGGAGCUCCGGGCGGCCAAUGCCGGGCAAGCCCAGCCCGGCACAGGAGGAGGCAGGGCCCGUCUCCGGAAAGAGGGCCAGAGGCAGAACUGAGGGCCUGGUUUUGUGUAAUUCGAUUUGGAUACAAACAGGCCAGACCCAAACUGGAAACGGCGAAGGGCUGGAUUAGCACCGAAGGGAUUCGAGGAGGCAAACGGGAAGUAAAAAUGCUGUGUGGAGCUGCAGAGGGCAAGGGGACAGGGGUUGCAAAGGAAAGAGCUUCGUGAGACUUUCUCCUUCCCGGCGUAGGGACCAGCAGAGUGCGGGCAGGUCAGCCCUGUCACCGGUUCGUUUAGGGAAAAAGCGCGACAUGGGGCCUGGGAGACAGGGGCAGAGGCGGUGACAGCGAGGGCCCCUGCUCGGGUGGGCCCGCGGGCCUCAGCUCAGUCCCCUCCCGAGGGACCGCGACCCCCGGCCCCGCGGCCGCCCGCGCGCACUCACCAGCCCGGGCUGCCCUGGGCGGAGCCGCCCCGCCGCGCUCCACAGCCGCUGCCUCUUCGACGCGCGCGCUGCCUCCAGGUGCGGCUCUAGGAGGAGGCGCCGCGGGCAGUGCCGGCCGCGCCCCGCGACUCCCGGUAACCCGAGCCCGCCCCGCCCCGCUAGGGCCAGGCCCCGCCGCCACCCUCCGCGCUGGGACGCCGGGGCGCGGGCAUCCCUGCCGCCUACGGAUCUCUUCCCAAGCACCUAGAACUUUCCAAAGCGUGCUUGGAAUUUAACACCUUGGUCGUCGAUCCCCGCAAAUAUACUCUGAUGAGACCGGCUUUCUUCCCAUACCGCCCAGGAGUUUCUCCAGGUGGCAUUCCUGUCGCCUUGAGGUGGAACAUCAGUAGAGGCUCGAGGCUGAAGCAAGCACAAUACACAAGGGACUCCGAUUCGUACAGGAACAUUUCGAAAACAGGAAAUCCUGAGGACAAUGAUGAACAUUUGAACCUAUCUACCGAGAAGAUUCACCUCUCCUUGCCAACCACUUGGAGCCAUCAGUCCGAACCCGUCGAGACAUAAGCAUUCCAGUUCAUUUCAUCCUGAGCAGGAACACAUUUACUCUUAUAAAAGUUUCAGCUUGAGAGACAGCUGGCAAGAUGGCUGAAUAGGAACAGCUCCAGUCUGCAGCUCCCAGCAAGAUCAAUGCAGAAGGUCCAAUUCUUUUCUAAAAGUCUUCUGGCUAGUCCCAGCAUUUCCAGGGAAGCUGAACAGGUGCAGCCGGAGGCUUGGAGCCACUAUGGAAGCAGCACAGUUGAUGCCUCAGAGGAUCCAGAGAAAAGACCAGAUAACUAUAAUUCAGCCUUCACCCAUAUUGUGUCUUUUUGAUUUUGUCUGAGUAUAUAUGCCGCACAACAAGCAGCUUAUCUCUGAGAUUCAAAUAGUUACUGCAAUUCCAUUAUCUGUUUUUUUACUGUGAGGGAUUUGGAGCCACAUUUAGUCCUACAUCACAGAUACAGGACUCAAGAGUCAAAGUGCACAGAAAUUUGAAUUCCGAUAAGAAUACUCUGAGCCAGUUUAUUCUGGGGUACAUACUUCAUUUUAUGCUAGAACUCUGCAAUCCUGAUGAAAGAGGGCUUGCAUUGCUCAACUAACUAACUCACCCGUCUCUCCUGCAGUAUUAGAAACUACUUCUGUAUGUACACGUUACAGUUUCUAGGAACUCCAUUUUUGCAAGACAGAUAGGAGCCAGAAAAUUUGUUCCUUCAACUGUAUAUCGCUAAUUAAACAUAAAAUCAAAUCAGCAUUUUAGGUACUUGAAUAACUAGUCUGUGCUUACUUUUAUUCAUAUGGAAGCAGUGUUUAAAUUAUUCUCUGAUUGUAAACUCACUUAUGUAAACCAUUAUACAGGAAAAAAAUGAGUAAUGAAGCAAAGUUCUGAAGCAGAUCUAUGUAAGCAAAUUUCAAUAACCUUCUUAAGAGAAUAUGACACUUAGUAGUGGUGAGGGACAUUUUAAGCUUUUUCUAUUUACAAGUUUUUUUUAAACGAGGGUGUUUCAAAGUAAAUAUUUGCUGUUACGUUAUGCCACAUGAUAUACUAAUAAAUGAAUUAAUGAAAUUAACCUAAAUAUCCAGUAUUAUUAUUGAAUAUAUAGCUACUAAAAUUUUAUAUUCAAAUAUAUCCAAGGACAUGAGGAAAUAAGGAUUUAAUUCUAAACAAAAAAAGAAGCUAUGAAAUAUAUAUAAUUUAAGACUAUAAUUUUGUUAAAAAUAUGUUUAUGUAAAUGCGCUAAAAAAAGUUCUUUAAGAAUAUAUGCCAAAAUAUUGACAAUGGUUAUCCCCUGAGUGAUUUUUAUUUUCAUCCUUAGGAUUUUCUGUAUUUUCUGUUUCACAUUUUGAACAUGUAUACUUUUACAAGAAAAUAUGAACUAAAAUUAAAAAUUUUUAAACUCCU
rnacentral:lncRNA from 1 species